rnacentral:lncRNA from 1 species
GGUUGGCUGUGAGCUCCAGCGGCUGCACGUGGACAGAGGGCGGAAUGCAGAUGAGGCUGCUGUGGGAUACGUCCAGGAGACUCUGGAGCGCCAGGCGCGGGGGCUCUGCACACAUGAUCUUCCUGUCCCUGGAGGUGAGCAGCCGCUGGCCGCCCUCCUUGAUCCAGGCACCCAGCCAGUGCAGGGCGCAGUCACAGCGCCAUGGGUUCUCUGUGGGAGAGCAGCGUUAGGCAGGUGGCUUGAGGGUGCUGCUAAAACAGCCUGUGCAGUUGGGGUUUUGCAGGCCAGGACAGAGGCCUCUUUCCCACCUCCCACAGCGUUUUCACACGGAGUCCAAGGCCCUGCCACCCCUUCCUUGACCCCAAGCUCCUUGGGGCGGCAGGCCCUUCACCCUCGCCCCCCUCCCCUUUAGCUCUGUGAUGCCUGCCUGUUACAGAUCACUUCUCCGUCGGUCUCUGAGAAAGCACCUGCUCCUUAAGUCUUCCUGCAACAAGUGCCACUGUUUUUAGGAACCUGGGCGUCCACAUAGACAUCUCACCAGCACUGAAACCUCACAAGUCCUCUCAGCCUUGCCUUUGGAUGCCCUCUCUUGGGAAUGUCCCCAGUCCUGGUCAGCUGUCUCUCUCCUUUGCAAUUUUGUCUGCCUCCCCUCAGCCUAAAAGUGUGCAGAACCCUCAAUUCUGUUAAGUCACCCUGUGGAGUUCCUGUCUUCUGUUUUCCCCAGGCAGGGUGCCUGAGCUGUAUUCCCCAGCACACCCACUCCCGCAGCCCUCCAGUGUGGCUGCAGGCGGUGGUGCAGCCUUCCAGACUGCUGCCCAGUUGCCUGAUGUCAGAGCCCCUCCACACAUGAGCCUGCUCCCUACUGCCAACACCGUGGCCCAGACAGAGACGCUUUCCGAGGAAGAGGUGAAGCUCCUGCAGUCGCUGAAGUAAGGACAGCAGAUCGUGAGGAAAAAGGGCGCCGAGGUUGGGGGCAUGUCUCUCUUCUUACCAAGCUAGACUGGGUUGCCUUUUCUAACUAUUCCAGCCCUACAGGGCGAGGGGCCAUAAUGGAGUAUCCCGCCCCUUUAGACCCCAGGCGCUCACCGGCAG